UACGUAGGGUGCGAGCGUUGUCCGGAAUUAUUGGGCGUAAAGGGCUCGUAGGCGGUUUGUCGCGUCGGGAGUGAAAACCCGGGGCUCAACCCCGGGCCUGCAUUCGAUACGGGCAGACUAGAGUUCGGUAGGGGAGUCUGGAAUUCCUGGUGUAGCGGUGAAAUGCGCAGAUAUCAGGAGGAACACCGGUGGCGAAGGCGGGACUCUGGGCCGAUACUGACGCUGAGGAGCGAAAGCGUGGGGAGCAAACAGG
rnacentral:rRNA from 1 species